UUAGGUUUAAGGUUUAAGUAAGAGUAUAAGGUUAAGAAAUAUAAUUUUUACGGGAUUAAAUUUUAUUAAAAAUUUAUGAAUAAUUUAAGUUAAAGAACUGUGAAGGGAUAAUAGGCUAUAUCAAAGUAAAAAAUUUUUGUACCUUUUGUAUCAGGGUUUGUUAAAUUUGUUGAUUUAUUUUAAUUUCCCGAAGAAAAGUGAGCUACCAAAUUGGUUUUUUAUUGUGGCAUAAAUAGAAUGAACUAGUAGGUGGGAGUGAGAUGCUAACGGACUUUUUGUUAUCUGGUUUUAAUAGAAAUAUAUUAGUGUAGUAUAAAUUAAUGAUUUAGUUUGUAUUAAGGAUAUUGGGGUUAAGCUCAAUGUUUAAAUUUUUAUAUUAUAAAAUAGGUUUGGGUAAGUUAGGUCUAAUAGUGGCUUUGUGUUUAAUAACAUAUAGUAUUUUUGUUAAGAUUAAUAAGGUAUGUUAGAGUUUAGCUAAAUUUAUAGUAAUAGUAAUAAUGAUAAAAUUAGUAGAAGAUGAGUAAAGUAUCUUUGAUAUUUGGUUUCUGGAUAAUUUAUUUAUGUUGGGUAUAGUAAGGCACCAUAAAGGAACUCGGCAAUAGGGUUCUUUAACUGUUUAUCAAAAACAUUUUUUUAAGACUAGAUGAGUUAAAGUAAGUUCUGCCCACUGAUAAUAUUAAAGGGCCGCAGUAGCCUGACUGUGCUAAGGUAGCAUAAUCAUUAGGUUUUUAAUUGGGAUCUGGAAUGAAUGGAUUAAUAGGGAAUUACUGUCUAUAUGGUGGUUCUUGAAAUUAAAAUUUUGGUAAUAAUGCUAGAAUGAUCUUGUGGGACGAUAAGACCCUAUAAAGCUUUAUUAUUUUCUUUGUGAAUAUUUUUGCUAGCUUUAUUAGGUGGAUAAUUUGACUGGGGCGGUUUCUAUCUAACUUAGAUUUUCUUAUAAAGUUUAUAGAUCCACUAUUAGUGAAUUAAGAUUAAGUUACUUUAGGGAUAACAGCACAAUAUAUUUAUGGAGUUCUAAUCGAAGAGUAUGUUUGUGACCUCGAUGUUGAAUUAAUUUAAUUUUAGGGUGAAGUAGCUUUAAAAAUUAGUCUGUUCGACUAUUGAAUAAUUACGUGAUUUGAGUUCAAACCGGUUUGAGCCAGGUUGG
rnacentral:rRNA from 1 species